AUUGUGAACAGCGAGUAGCGCUGUUUCCCCUGGUGUGAAUGAUUGCUCCGAACCUUUCAACCUAAAACUGCAAUUAAGGGUCACUUUUGAUCUAAAUUUGAUCCAAUGGUGACCAUAAUUGUACUCUUCACCUCGAAACCUUUCUGUUGAUACCAAGUUUCACCCCAAUCGUAUAAAAUAGUGAUUCUAACGUUUUUCUGUUCAAUCUCUUCUAGGCCAGUAACCAAAUGACCAAUGGAUAUUUUUGCCAUCCCUAAGUUAAUCGUGUUUACUUUAUUCAGCUUUGAGCCAUGUGCUGUUUGAUUUGAUUGUGAUGUUUAAUCAAUUACAACAAGAAACAAAUUAUGGAUUAUAUUUGGAUAAAUCGGAUUAAAAGAAAAUCUGAAAUUAAAAGACAAUUGCUGAAGGACAUGAUUGUAAAUUAUUAUAUCGGAUAAAUGGUGAACAUCGGAUGGUUUCAACAAAAUGAACUUCUGGUUGCUGAUAAUUCCUAUUGAGCGAUGAAAAUGAUUCAAUUUUACAUUUCUGUUCGUCACUCAUUUCUAUGGUCAAGGCCUGGUUGAUUCGUUUCAAGUCAAACUCUUUAGUUUCAACACAAUUACCAAUAAUUAUUGAUUUCAACCUUAUCGGUCGUCGAGUUAAAGAAAUCAAUCGUUUCCCUUGUAUACCGAGAUAGCUCCAUUUCAAGAUUUUGUCAAUACAUGAGGCUUCAUUGCAAGGUUCGCCCCUUCCUGGCUUUCGGUGGAUUCCAUGGUUGGCAUCUUUUAGGAAAAGGCAAAUAUAAUUAACGAAGAUUAUUUAUGGCAUAGCAUCGAAUGAUCAAAAUAUCAAGUCUUAUCGCUAAAGAAGCUGAAAAUCACAAGUUUCAAAUAAAACAAUAAAAGUAUAUGAUGAUCACAAAAGGAGACAAGACAAUCAAGGAAGUAUAAGAAGCAGAAAAUGGGAAAACAUAAACAACCUUUUUUAACAGGACCUUGAUAUCGAUCAAUAGUACCACAUGGAAGUUGUGAAAUAAAAAGAUGCCAAGUUAAAUUAUCGAGAUGAUUAGAGUAAUCAGAGUGUUUUUCAAUCAAUCCCAUCAAGUGAUGUUUAAAGGCUCUUUUACAUAGGACUUCGGCAUGACAGUCAAUGAGAACGUUUGAUAAUUUCGAUGGAUUUCCAGUUACACAUUUGGUUCCAGUUGUUAAGCAGGCAAGCUUAAAGCUAUCAGACUGUUCAUAGAGCAAACCACACAGUGUUGUCCAUUGAGUGUCCAAAGGCUUACCAGUUUUACCAAGACUGUUGAAACAAAGGCCAACAUAAAAUUAUGAUAUUGAAAUGAUACUACUGG